rnacentral:rRNA from 1 species
AAUUAUACGUGAAACUGCGAAUGGCUCAUAAAUCAGUUAUCGUUAUUGAUAGUACCCUUACUACUUGGAUAAUCCGUGGUAAUUCUAGAGCUAAUACAUGCUGAAAACCCCGACUUCGGGAGGGGUGUAUUUAUUAGAUAAAAAACCAAUGCCCUCCGGGGCUCUUUGGUGAUUCAUGAUAACUUCUCAGAUCGCAUGGCCUUGCGCCGGCGACGGUUCAUUCAAAUUUCUGCCCUAUCAACUUUCGAUGGUGAGGUAUUGGCCCACCAUGGUUUCGACGGGUAACGGGGAAUUAUGGGUUCGAUUCCGGAGAGUUAGCCUAAGAGAUCGCUAACACAUCCAAGGAAGGCAGCAGGCGCGCAAAUUACCCAAUGCCAACACGGCGAGGUAGCGACAAUAAAUACUGAUACAGGGCUCUUUUGGGUCUUGUAAUUGGAAUGAGUACAAUUUAAACCUCUUAACGAGGAACAAUUGGAGGGCAAGUCUGGUGCCAGCAGCCGCGGUAAUUCCAGCUCCAAUAGCGUAUAUUAAAGUUGUUGCAGUUAAAAAGCUCGUAGUUGAACCUUUGGCCUGGCUGGCAGGUCCGCCUCACCGCGUGCACUUGUCCGGCCGGGCCUUCUCUUCUGGAGAACCUCAUGCCCUUCACUGGGUGUGCUGGGGAACCAGGACUUUUACUGUGAAAAAAUUAGAGUGUUCAAAGCAGGCCUUUGCUCGAAUAUGUUAGCAUGGAAUAAUGGAAUAGGACGUGUGGGCCUAUUUUGUUGGUUUCUAGGACCGCCGUAAUGAUUAAAAGGAUCAGUCGGGGGCAUCAGUAUUCGAUUGUCAGAGGUGAAAUUCUUGGAUUUAUCGAAGACUAACUACUGCGAAAGCAUUUGCCAAGGAUGUUUUCAUUAAUCAGUGAACGAAAGUUAGGGGAUCGAAGACGAUCAGAUACCGUCGUAGUCUUAACCAUAAACUAUGCCAGCUAGGGAUCGGGCGGUGUUUCUAUUUUGACCCGCUCGGCACCUUACGAGAAAUCAAAGCGUUUGGGUCUG